rnacentral:rRNA from 1 species
CUACCGUAGCUCAGAGUUUGAUCCUGGCUCAGAUUGAACGCUGGCGGCAUGCCUUACACAUGCAAGUCGAACGGUAACAGGUCUUCGGACGCUGACGAGUGGCGAACGGGUGAGUAAUACAUCGGAACGUGCCCAGUCUGGGGGAGUAACUACUCGAAAGAGUAGCUAAUACCGCAUACGAUCUGAGGAUGAAAGCGGGGGGACCUUCGGGCCUCGCGCGAUUGGAGCGGCCGAUGGCAGAUUAGGUAGUUGGUGGGAUAAAAGCUUACCAAGCCGACGAUCUGUAGCUGGUCUGAGAGGACGACCAGCCACACUGGGACUGAGACACGGCCCAG